ACGUAAUGUGAACUCCCGUCAUGAAUAGUAAAGAUUCAGCGCCUGACGAUUUGUUAAAAAUGGUACAAUGUGCAUGUUUAGGAAACUGUAGAACCUUAAGGUGCAGCUGCCGAAAAACUGGGGUGCCUUGCUCUGAAAUGUGCAAGAAUUGCAAUGGGCAAAUGUGCUCAAAUAUUUAUAAAAA
rnacentral:lncRNA from 1 species